rnacentral:rRNA from 2 species
UGAGGAAUAUUGGUCAAUGGACGAGAGUCUGAACCAGCCAAGUAGCGUGAAGGAUGAAGGUUCUAUGGAUUGUAAACUUCUUUUAUACGGGAAUAAACGAAUCCACGUGUGGAUUUUUGCAUGUACCGUAUGAAUAAGGAUCGGCUAACUCCGUGCCAGCAGCCGCGGUAAUACGGAGGAUCCGAGCGUUAUCCGGAUUUAUUGGGUUUAAAGGGAGCGUAGAUGGGUUGUUAAGUCAGUUGUGAAAGUUUGCGGCUCAACCGUAAAAUUGCAAUUGAUACUGGCAGUCUUGAGUACAGUUGAGGUAGGCGGAAUUCGUGGUGUAGCGGUGAAAUGCUUAGAUAUCACGAAGAACUCCGAUUGCGAAGGCAGCUUACUAACCUGUAACUGACAUUGAUGCUCGAAAGUGUGGGUAUCAAACAGGAUUAGAUACCCUGGUAGUCCACACGGUAAACGAUGAAUACUCGCUGUAGGCGAUAUACAGUCUGCGGCCAAGCGAAAGCAUUAAGUAUUCCACCUGGGGAGUACGCCGGCAACGGUGAAACUCAAAGGAAUUGACGGGGGCCCGCACAAGCGGAGGAACAUGUGGUUUAAUUCGAUGAUACGCGAGGAACCUUACCCGGGCUUAAAUUGCAACUGACUGAACCGGAAACGGUUCUUUCUUCGGACAGUUGUGAAGGUGCUGCAUGGUUGUCGUCAGCUCGUGCCGUGAGGUGUCGGCUUAAGUGCCAUAACGAGCGCAACCCUUAUCGAUAGUUACUAGCAGGUCAUGCUGAGGACUCUAUUGAGACUGCCGUCGUAAGAUGUGAGGAAGGUGGGGAUGACGUCAAAUCAGCACGGCCCUUACGUCCGGGGCUACACACGUGUUACAAUGGGGGGUACAGAAGGCAGCUACACGGCGACGUGGUGCUAAUCCCGAAAGCCUCUCUCAGUUCGGAUUGGAGUCUGCAACCCGACUCCAUGAAGCUGGAUUCGCUAGUAAUCGCGCAUCAGCCACGGCGCGGUGAAUACGUUCCC